rnacentral:tRNA from 1 species
AAUUAUUGAACUUGUAUAAGUAUAUAUUUUGAAAAUAUAAAAAAGAAGGGAACUUCUAAUAAUUU